UCUGAGAGAGGGUCUGUGAUUUAAUCACCACAUGUGUGCCACACCAAACCCGCCGGGAGACCAGAACGAACCGGCAGUUCUGCGUUAUGCCGCGAGGUGGCGCUGCCAUGCUUUGGAAAUGGCGAGGACAACGCCAUCUGCGAACGCUGCUCUGGAGUGGGAGGUGAAAAGACACGCAGCAGCCGGCGCCUGCAGGUCUCAGAGCUGGUGGCUUCCCUGCUUCAGGUGUGCUCCCUCCAUGGCUUUGACAUUUGCAUCUAAACUUCACCCACCCACCGUUGAAGGUUAAAAUUCAUUAGGCAAAGUCAAGCGAAACUCAUGCUGACACUGAGGUGUUGGGGAGACAAAGCAAGCAAUAAACUGAACGCAUAUACAAGAACCUCUGGAAAUCCCAGGGUGAGUCGGUGAUUCCACACAAACACGGCAGAGGUCUUCAGGGAGGGGUGGAUCCUUGAGAAGGACAUCAGCAGUGUGCGCAGUGUUUGGACUGGCAGACUCACAGGAGCUGGCCCGACAGUCAAGUGAGGGGCAGGAUGGAGGAGAAAAUGGAGGUGUUUGUGUUUGAUGGCUCCAGGAGGGUGAAGACUGUGCUGAACUUGGGCAUCAGAGGUAGAGUCCUCAGAUUAUAAUUUUUUUAUCUAUUUAUUUAUUUUUAGUAUAGUAUUUGCUUUGUGGCCCUGGCUGGCCUGGUCCUGGCCCUGCAUCCCAGGCUGGAUCCCAGGCAUCCUCCUCUCUUGGCCUCCCGUGUGCUAGGAUCCUAGCUGUAGGAAACCACUCCAGCUUUUGAGAUUGUAAUUUCAAAGGCAAUUGAGUAGUGAUGACAAAUUAGUGUGUAGCAUUAGGAACUGGAGAGACUUUCUAUCACUGAGUAAUCAUUUAUUGGGAAUGAGCUGGGGGCCAUUGUCACCAUAGCUGGCACAGAAAAUUGUGUCAUGAUGGUGGUGUACAGUA